AAACUAACAGAUUUACUUCGGUAAUGACGUUAGGAAAGCGAGCGGCGGAUGGGUGAGUAACACGUGGGGAACCUGCACCAUAGUCUGGGAUACCACUUGGAAACAGGUGCUAAUACCGGAUAAGAAAGCAGAUCGCAUGAUCAGCUUUUAAAAGGCGGCGUAAGCUGUCGCUAUGGGAUGGCCCCGCGGUGCAUUAGCUAGUUGGUAAGGUAAAGGCUUACCAAGGCGAUGAUGCAUAGCCGAGUUGAGAGACUGAUCGGCCACAUUGGGACUGAGACACGGCCCAAACUCCUACGGGAGGCAGCAGUAGGGAAUCUUCCACAAUGGACGCAAGUCUGAUGGAGCAACGCCGCGUGAGUGAAGAAGGUUUUCGGAUCGUAAAGCUCUGUUGUUGGUGAA
rnacentral:rRNA from 1 species